ACGGGAGGCAGCAGUGGGGAGUAUUGCACAAUGGAGGAAACUCUGAUGCAGCAACGCCGCGUGAGGGAAGAAGGUCUUCGGAUUGUAAACCUAAGUUUUUGGGGACGAAUCAAGUGACGGUACCCAAAGAGAAAGCUCCGGCUAACUACGUGCCAGCAGCCGCGGUAAUACGUAGGGAGCGAGCGUUGUCCGGAUUUACUGGGUGUAAAGGGUGCGUAGGCGGGUCAUCAAGUCAGGCGUGAAAACCCGGGGCUUAACUCCGGGAGUGCGUUUGAAACUGUUGAUCUUGAGUGAAGUAGAGGCAAGCGGAAUUCCUAGUGUAGCGGUGAAAUGCGUAGAUAUUAGGAGGAACACCAGUGGCGAAGGCGGCUUGCUGGGCUUUAACUGACGCUGAGGCACGAAAGCAUGGGGAGCAAACAGGAUUAGAUACCCUGGUA
rnacentral:rRNA from 1 species